GCGUAGGAAACUGAAGAAUCAGCGGAAUGGCGAGAAGUGGUUUGACUUCCAUUGUCCAUGUCGAUCCUUGAAUCUUUAGAACGAGGAUUAAAGGAAGGGAA